AGGGGCCCGGAGAUGGGUACUGAGACACGGACCCAGGCCCUAUGGGGCGCAGCAGGCGAGAAACCUUUGCAAUGUGCGAAAGCACGACAAGGUUAAUCCGAGUGUCUCCUGCUAAAGGAGUCUUUUGUCAGUUGUAGAAUCACUGGUGAAUAAGGGGUGGGCAAGUUCUGGUGUCAGCCGCCGCGGUAAAACCAGCACCUCGAGUGGUCAGGAGGUUUAUUGGGCCUAAAGCAUCCGUAGCCGGUUGCAUAAGUUUUCGGUUAAAUCUAUGCGCUUAACGUAUAGGCCGCCGAAAAUACUGUGCAGCUAGGGAGUGGGAGAGGUACACGGUACUCGAUAGGAAGGGGUAAAAUCCUUUGAUCUAUUGAAGACCACCUGUGGCGAAGGCGGUGUACCAGAACACGUUCGACGGUGAGGGAUGAAAGCUGGGGGAGCAAACCGGAUUAGAUACCCGGGUAGUCCCAGCUGUAAACGAUGCAGACUCGGUGAUGCAUUGGCUUGUGGCCAAUGCAGUGCCGCAGGGAAGCCGUUAAGUCUGCCGCCUGGGAAGUACGUACGCAAGUAUGAAACUAAAGGAAUUGGCGGGGGAGCACCACAAGGGGUGAAGCCUGCGGUUCAAUUGGAUCAACG
rnacentral:rRNA from 1 species